GGGGGGACUCUGGACGGAUGUGUUUCGUCGAACGAUAAACGCGAAAAGUGAGAAGACGGAAAAAAAAAAAAUAAUAAUAAUAAUAUACAAACACGACGCGAUAAAAAUCCAAAACAAAAUCGAUAUUUCGCGAACGUCCGUCGGGCGGCAAAACAAAAUUUUUAAUAUUAUCAAUAACCGAUCGAAGUAAAACGGAAAAACAAAAAAAAUUACGCGACGUUCGGUUAUUUUUGUAUAUUCUUUUUUCUAAUCCGCGUUGUCGGGGGGCGCGUGUGCUCGUG